rnacentral:rRNA from 1 species
GACGAACGCUUGCGGCGUGCCUAAUACAUGCAAGUAGAACGCUGAAGCGAGGAGCUUGCUCUUCUUGGAUGAGUUGCGAACGGGUGAGUAACGCGUAGGUAACCUGCCUUGUAGCGGGGGAUAACUAUUGGAAACGAUAGCUAAUACCGCAUAACAAUGGAUGACACAUGUCAUUUAUUUGAAAGGGGCAAUUGCUCCACUACAAGAUGGACCUGCGUUGUAUUAGCUAGUAGGUGAGGUAACGGCUCACCUAGGCGACGAUACAUAGCCGACCUGAGAGGGUGAUCGGCCACACUGGGACUGAGACACGGCCCAGACUCCUACGGGAGGCAGCAGUAGGGAAUCUUCGGCAAUGGGGGCAACCCUGACCGAGCAACGCCGCGUGAGUGAAGAAGGUUGUCGGAUCGUAAAGCUCUGUUGUAAGUCAAGAACGAGUGUGAGAGUGGAAAGUUCACACUGUGACGGUAGCUUACCAGAAAGGGACGGCUAACUACGUG